rnacentral:lncRNA from 1 species
CCAGUGUUGUAAUAGUUCCCAUUCAGACCAUCUUCAGUGCUGUUUCUACAAGUUGACGUCAGUUGGAGGUACAUGAAAGGACAAGAAUUUGUCCUGUUCUGAUCUCUACUGCUUGGCAAAAGGAGAGAUUGUUAUUAAAUUCGCUUUCCAAUGACAGAAGCACUGCAAGUGCAUUUUAAGGUGCCAAAACUAUUGUUCCCAGAUUAGCUGCAGACAGGAGCAGAGCUUUCGAUGGAAAUUUUAAAGAAAUGGGAUCAACAUCCAGAAGCAUUUCUUCAAAGAAUUGCCAUGGGAGCUGAACUUUCCCUUUACCAUCCUGAAGACAAAGCAGAAUCAAAGAAAUGGCUACCGAGGGUGGAAGUGGCCCCGUCACAGCACAAGCAGACUGGCCAAGAGCAAAGGUCGUGGCAACAGUGUUUUGGGAUGCUCAUGGCAUAGUGCCUGUUGACUUCUUGAAGGGCCAGAGAAUGAUAGCAUCUGCUUAUUAUGAGAGUGCUUGUAAAAAGUUAGCAAAAGCUUUAACAGACAGACACCUGAGAAAGCUUCACCAGAGAGUCCUCCUCCACCACAACAAAGGUUCUGCUCAUUCCUCUCAUCAAGUGAGGGCGAUUUUGCGAGAGUUUCAAUGGGAAAUCUUUAACCAUACACCCUGGAUAGGUUCCUUCUGACUUCUUUACUUCCUAAUAUUUAAAAAAUCUGUAAAAGGCACCCAUUUUUUCCCAGUUAAUAAUGUAAAAAAGACUGCACUGACAUGGUUAAAUUCCCAGGACAC